AAAGUCUUCCUUUUCCCUCCUCCCGCCAUUCCUUGGCCAUUCGCUGUUUCUACAAAUGACAGCCUCUAGGUUGUGUUCGUUUCCCGGAGUGACCAAGCUGUGUCCCAGAGCAACAAAACGCUGAAUCCUCCUCUCUGAACGUCCCAGAGCCCGGCCUCUCUUCACACAGACCCUGUGGGUCAUGGGGAGGAGAGGAGAAGACUGAAGCUUUUGGCUGGAGGAGAUUCCCAGGUCCCAAGGUCUCCCUGUGGGACCCGGGAAUCCAAGAGCUGUUGAAACCUGCAAGCCAGGAAGGGGGCAGGGGAAUGGAGGUGGAGGGGAAGGUCCAACCUGAGAUUUGGCAAGAAGAGUGGUUAGGGUACCUU
rnacentral:lncRNA from 1 species